GGCAAGCGUUGUUCGGAUUUACUGGGCAUAAAGCGCACGUAGGCGGCCCUACAAGUCGGUUGUGAAAUCCCGGGGCUCAACCCCGGAACUGCAUCCGAUACUAUAGGUCUAGAGGAUGAAAGGGGAGAGUGGAACUUCUGGUGGAGCGGUGAAAUGCGUAGAUAUCAGAAGGAACACCGGUGGCGAAAGUGGCGAUCUGGACGAUGACUGACGCUGAGACGCGAAAGCGUGGGGAGCGAACAGG
rnacentral:rRNA from 1 species